rnacentral:rRNA from 1 species
AAUAAACGCUGGCGGCGUGCCUAAUGCAUGCAAGUCGAACGGGAGCGCCUUCGGGCGUCGACCGUGGCGGACGGGUGAGGAACACGUGGCUAAUCUGCCCAGCACUGGGGGAGUACCCGCCGGAAACGGCGACUAAGACCGCAUGCGCUUGCUCUUGGGGACGGGAGCAAGGAAAGCGCUUCGGCGCGGUGGUGGAGGGGCGUGCGGCCGAUUAGCUAGCUGGUGGGGUAACGGCCUACCAGGGCGGUGAUCGGUAGCUGGUCUGAGAGGACGGCCAGCCACACGGGGACUGAGACACGGCCCCGACUCCUACGGGA